rnacentral:rRNA from 1 species
GACGAACGCUGGCGGCGUGCCUAACACAUGCCAGUCGUACGGUAAGGCCCUUUCGGGGGUACACGAGUGGCGAACGGGUGAGUAACACGUGAGUAACCUGCCCACAACUUUGGGAUAACGCUAGGAAACUGGUGCUAAUACUGGAUAUGUGCUCCUGCUGCAUGGUGGGGGUUGGAAAGCUCCGGCGGUUGUGGAUGGACUCGCGGCCUAUCAGCUUGUUGGUGGGGUAGUGGCCUACCAAGGCGGCGACGGGUAGCCGGCCUGAGAGGGUGACCGGCCACAUUGGGACUGAGAUACGGCCCAGACUCCUACGGGAGGCAGCAGUGGGGAAUAUUGCACAAUGGGCGCAAGCCUGAUGCAGCAACGCCGCGUGCGGGAUGACGGCCUUCGGGUUGUAAACCGCUUUCAGCAGGGACGAAGCUUUUUGUGACGGUACCUGCAGAAGAAGCACCGGCUAACUACGUG